rnacentral:rRNA from 1 species
UACGUAGGGUGCAAGCGUUAAUCGGAAUUACUGGGCGUAAAGCGUGCGCAGGCGGUGAUGCAAGACAGAGGUGAAAUCCCCGGGCUCAACCUGGGAACUGCCUUUGUGACUGCAUGACUAGAGUACGGUAGAGGGGGAUGGAAUUCCGCGUGUAGCAGUGAAAUGCGUAGAUAUGCGGAGGAACACCGAUGGCGAAGGCAGCCCCCUGGGUCAAGAUUGACGCUCAUGCACGAAAGCGUGGGGAGCAAACAGG